UUGCGAUAUAUAGGUUAAUGGUGUUUUUUGAUCUGCAGAAGCUGGUAUACAUCUUCUCGCUAUGUUGACAAAAAUGAACGCAUACACAAUGCCGCGUAUUGAUAAGGUUUUCGUGAACAUCUGUGAUAGUAAGAUUUUAAUUCAUGGAUAAUGGAUCAGUUAUUCGAAGCUUUUGUGGCCAAAAUAUAAACGUAUGCAAGAAGGAUGAAACGAUGAAAUGGGAUCUUUUGGUUGGGAAGGUUAUCUAUAUCAACAACCUUAACUGAGUGCAUUUUUUAAGAGUUGGUGUUUCUAUGUCAGUAGGAAACAUCUAUGAAGAAAAUAUCAUCUUUGGAUUUCAGAAGUACUGUAUUGGAAGAGUUGUGCAAGGAUCAUUGAUGUUCGAAUUUGGUUUUGCACUUAUGUUUCUUUCUUAGUAUUUGGAUCUUUUAGACAGUCGGAUUCGAGUCUCGACUACCUUUCCAUUUUAUAGUGUUCAUAUUAUUCUACAACAGUGGUAAUGUUCUUGCUUAGACAUUAGAGGUUAUGACAAGAAUUCAAGUAGUUAAUUACCAAGCAGCAAUCAGGGAAUCUUGAUUACUGAGCGACGGUGGCAAAGGCAUAAGAAUGGUUUGCAUUAUUCUUAGCCCUUAUAAAGUUAAUCCCAACGGCAGGUACAUUUAGUACUUUAUUUCUCUCCAGCUAGGGUAGUGUCUCUACCAGAAUUCUGCUUGAGCAAAGCCUUCAGUUAUAUAUUGUUUUUUUUCUUCAGCAUGUCAGUUCAUUUGCUUUGGUUUCAGUUUUCUUACUGUAGUUUUAGUGGUGCUACGAUUUUAUCAUUUUUGGAUUUAUUAUUUUCAGUUACAGACUACCCAUCAAGGACCGAUGAGGACAGUUCUUUUCGGCCUUCGUUUAAGCUAUAUGAAUGUAAUGCUUCACCUUGGUGCUUGACAAUUCUUUAA